UGAAAAAGUAAUUAAAAAAAAUAAAUUAGUAUUAGUUAUGUUCUUGAAAAUUAAAAAUUUUGGCGGUAUUUUAGUCUUUUCAGAGGAACCUGUUCUGUAAUUGAUAUUCCACGUUUUAUUUUACUUAUUUUAAAAAUUUACAUAUCGUUGUAGUUAAAUAUUUUAUAAGAAUAGGAAUAUUUAAAAAUCUUAAAUAAGAAACAAAUCAAAUCAAGGKGUAGUUUAUAGAUAAGAAGAAAUGGGUUACAAUAAUAAAAUUUAUAUGGAUUUUUUUUUGCAACAUAAAAAUGAAAGUGGAUUUGAUAGUAAUUUUUUUUUAAUUAUUAAAAAUGAUUUAKUUUUAAAAUAUGU
rnacentral:rRNA from 1 species